GACACUCUGAAGUAUGUGCUACCCAAUCCUAACCAGGGAAAAGAGGAUGUUUUGAUUAGUUUAUUGAAUUAAAUCCCCGUAUAGCUCCUCCACUCUAUGGAGGUGACAGAGUGCCUGUCCCUCCCCAGCAGCCCUAGUCCUAAAAACUUGAGCCCCAACAAGGCCCUGCACCAGUACCUUCUACCUCGGGGGGCCAAGCGGUAGGAAUGGUCUUUUCUUCUCAUUCCCUACAGGGUGCUCAAUUUGAUCAGCGAGCCACUCAUUCCUAAGGAGGGCAAUAUACGCUAAGCAGAAACCAAGUGCAACAAAGAAAAGAUCACUGAAAAGUGAAACAGCAGGCUAUUUUGUUAGCUGUUGCCCUAAUUCAAGGGAAUCCAAGACCAGGGUCACUACAAGGAUGAGAUCAACCCAAGGUUGAUAUACCCUACAGAUGUGCUCUUGCACCACUAAAUCCCAGAGACUUGGUGUUAUUGAAGAUUGGGAAGAACAGGCACCCAGAAGAGCAACUAUAACCUCCUUGAACAGGACAUUUUGAGGUGUCAUUGACUACCUAUUCAGUAAAACUCAAGAGUAUUAAGCCAUGGAUUCACCACACCCAAGGUAAGC